AGCACAAUUGCUGGUUUGUAUGGGAGUUGCACAUUAGUUUUAUAAGAAACUGACAAAAUGUUUUUCCCAGAGUGACUAUACCAUUUUGUGCUUCCACCAGCAAU
rnacentral:pre_miRNA from 1 species